rnacentral:rRNA from 1 species
UACGUAGGGGGCAAGCGUUGUCCGGAAUUAUUGGGCGUAAAGGGCUCGUAGGCGGUUUGUCGCGUCGGGAGUGAAAACACGGGGCUUAACCCCGUGCCUGCUUCCGAUACGGGCAGACUAGAGGUAUGCAGGGGAGAACGGAAUUCCUGGUGUAGCGGUGAAAUGCGCAGAUAUCGGAAGGAACACCAGCAGCGAAGGCGACAACCUGGUCCUUAACUGACACUGAGGCGCGAAGGCGUGGGGAGCAAACAGG